UAGCCAACUGCCACUCUGUAACUGCCACUCUGCAACGGCUUCCCACACACAAGGAUAGGCCAGACUGAGGAAGAAAGACAGAAACUGUGGGAAUGUUUCUGACUGCAGACAGACCUUGCUAGAAUAGCACGCUGGGGAUCUUCCACUAGAAGGUUGUGACUAACACUCCCUUCUUGGAAUGACCCAACAAAACAAGCUUUACAAGAUAGCCCCGACCAGCAAGGACGGCCCCAGAGGGUUGGAUCAAUCUUGCUUGUUGCAUUGAUCUCCAUCUCUGUUUCUGUGAGUGGGACAUCCUGGAAGUAAGGCUCUUCGGGUCUUGCAACACAAGGGAGGAGAGAAAGAGUUUGCCAGGCUUCUGAUGGAGAAAAGUUGACUAGCCACGAAAGGAUGGACCCCUUCCAGAGUGCUAUGGAGACUUCUGAAGAACUAUAAAAGUUAAAGAAAAAUCAAACAUUCAUUGUGCCAUCCUUCACAUGGCAUGAAUGAUGUACAGCUUUGGUAAGAUUCAUCCUCAGAGAUGCUGAACUAACCUGCUUAUGAAAGAACCUAGUGGGGAAACCCCCACUCAGCUCCUGAUUCGGCGUGCACCCAAGAAUCACGAAUAGAACAUCACACCUUGAUGUAACAACACGAGGCCCCUGCUUCCAACUGCCUAAAACAGCUUGGGGACUGUCAUGGAUUCCAGGUCAUCUUGCCUUGUUCAACCUUUCAGAUGGAUCUAGUCAGACUUCAGUCAAGCUCUGAGCCUUCUAAGCAUACAGCAACUAGAUAAUAGAUGCUAAAGCUAGAUUUCUUAAAUCUAACCAAAUUUUCUAAUUUUCCUACCCCUCCUACCCUUUUAAAAAACAUUUUUUCAUUGCCCCUGUUCAGCAAGAAGAAGUUGUGGAGAGUCAUCAGCCCAAUUCCCUGGGUAUGGGAGUCUGGUAAUGGUUAUUUUACAAAUUAUAGAAAAGUUAUCAUUUCUAAGGGAUAAUUUGGGAAUGGUCAUAUGUGGAGAGCUCUUGGUGCUGCUUAUAGAAAUAUGUCAAGCACUUGUCACUGGGCUCAAAGAAGUAGGCUCAGAUAAGAAUAUUCACAUUUGGGCUAAUACAAAGCUCAAGGUAAACUUAGGAGAGGAAUGUGUGGCCUUCCUUUUAUCUUGGUCAUCCUGACAAGUCCCUAGACUCAGUGACCAGGGGGCUUAGUUUAUUGCCUUGUUUGAUCUCUUUGUUUAUUACUUUAUUUAAUUACUUUGUCUUUAAGAACCAAACCUAUUCUCUGCAAGGACCUAGAAUGGUAUAGAAGCUGACUGGGAAAUAAGCCUGCUUCAGCCUCAGCACUGGCUGUAGUCAUGUUAUAAUGUUGUCUAAUUUUCUUUCUUCUCAACCCUAACUAAGAUGAGGGUGGGGGGUCAUGAUAAUUUCUUGAUAGUACAGAGGAUAGCAGUCUCAUCAACCUUUCAUAUUAUAUAAUCAGGGGGUAGAGGAGAAGUCAGUAAAAAUUAUGUAAAAUUUUGUAUACAUGUUUUAAUAAAUUAUUAAGGCCUAUCUCUUCU
rnacentral:lncRNA from 1 species